rnacentral:rRNA from 1 species
UACAGAGGGGGCAAGCGUUAUUCGGAAUUAUUGGGCGUAAAGGGCGCGUAGGCGGCUUGGCAAGUGGAAGGUGAAAUCCCCGGGCUCAACCCGGGAACUGCGUCCGAUACUGGCAGGCUUGAAUCCGGGAGAGGGAUGUGGAAUUCCAGGUGUAGCGGUGAAAUGCGUAGAUAUCUGGAGGAACACCGGUGGCGAAGGCGGCAUCCUGGACCAACACUGACGCUGAGUGAGCGAAAGCCAGGGGAGCAAACGGG